rnacentral:lncRNA from 1 species
CUGCUGGGAAUGUCUGGCUGAGCCCUCCGUCAGGGAGGUCUUUAACUCCCACAUCCGGGCAAGGAUGGGAGGUUGGUGACAUUGAGUCAGAGUGGACCAUGUUCUCCACCUCUAUUGUCUCUGCUGCUUUCCAGAGCUUUAGUCGCAGGGUCUGUGGUGCCUGGCAGCAACCCCUGAGCCCGGUGGUGGAUACCGGAAGUAAGGAAUGCCGUCAAGCUGAAGAAGGGUUCCUAUGAGGCCUGGUUGGCUUGUGGGACUUCAGAGGCAGUUGACGGGUCCUGGCAGUCUAAGCAAGCUGCAGCCCGGGCUGUUUUGGAGGCAAAAACUUGGUCCUGGGAGGAGUUUGGUGAGGCCAUGGGGAAGGACUAUCGGUUGGCCUCAAAGAGAUUCUGGCAAACCGUCCGGCGCCUCAGGAGGGGAAAACAGUUUUCUACGGUCACCGUUCUCAGUGCAGGUGGGGAUCUGCUGACCUCAACUGGGGACAUUGUCGGGCGGUGGAAGGAAUACUUUGAGGAUCUCCUCAACCCUGCUGACACGCCCUCCAUUGAGGAAGCAGAGGCUGAGGACACUGGGGUGGAACUGUCCAUCACCCAAGCUGAGGUCACUGAGGUAGUCAAAGAGCUCCUCGGUGGCAAGGCUCGGGGAGUGGAUGAGGUUCGUCCUGAGUACCUCAAGUCUCUGGAUGCUGUGGGAGUGUCUUGGCUGACACGUCUUUGCAACAUUGCAUGGCAGACAGGAACCGUACCACUGGACUGGCAGACUGGGGUGGUGGUUCCCCUUUUCAAGAAGGGGGACCGGAGGGUGUGUUCCAGUUACCGGGGAAUCACACUCCUCAGCCUUCCCGGGAAAGUCUAUGCCAGGGUCCUGGAGAUUAGAGUCUGUCCAAUAGUCGAACCUCAGAUUCAAGAACAACAGUGUGGUUUCUGUCUUGGUGGUGGAACAGUGGACCAGAUCUACAUCCUCUUCAGGUGCUGGAGGGUUCAUGGGAGUUCACUCAUCCAGUCCAUAUGUGUUUGGUGGAUUUGGAGAAGGCGUUCGACCGCGAUCCCCGUGGUGUCCUGUGG